rnacentral:rRNA from 1 species
AGCCGCCGCGGGAACACCGGCGGCCCGAGUGGUGAUCGUGAUUAUUGGGUCUAAAGGGUCCGUAGCCGGUUGGUCAGUCCUCCGGGAAAUCUGAUAGCUCAACUAUUAGGCUUUCGGGGGAUACUGCCAGACUUGGAACCGGGAGAGGUAAGAGGUACUACAGGGGUAGGAGUGAAAUCUUGUAAUCCCUGUGGGACCACCUGUGGCGAAGGCGUCUUACCAGAACGGGUUCGACGGUGAGGGACGAAAGCUGGGGGGCACGAACCGGAUUAGAUACCCGGGUAGUCCCAGCCGUAAACGAUGCUCGCUAGGUGUCAGGCAUGGCGCGACCGUGUCUGGUGCCGCAGGGAAGCCGUGAAGCGAGCCACCUGGGAAGUACGGCCGCAAGGCUGAAACUUAAAGGAAUUGGCGGGGGAGCACAACAACGGGUGGAGCCCUGCGGUUUAAUUGGACUCAACGCCGGACAACUCACCGGGGGCGACAGCAAUAUGUAGGCCAAGCUGAAGACUUUGCCUGAAUCGCUGAGAGGUGGUGCAUGG